rnacentral:misc_RNA from 1 species
AUUCCGUAGGUGAACCUGCGGAAGGAUCAUUACUGAGUGAGGGCCCCUCGGGGUCCAACCUCCCACCCGUGUUUAACGAACCUUGUUGCUUCGGCGGGCCCGCCUCACGGCCGCCGGGGGGCAUCUGCCCCCGGGCCCGCGCCCGCCGAAGCCACCUGUGAACGCUGUCUGAAGUAUGCAGUCUGAGACAAUUAUUAAAUUAAUUAAAACUUUCAACAACGGAUCUCUUGGUUCCG